rnacentral:lncRNA from 1 species
UGCUACUUUUACUGUCUAUGCCAUUCUCCACAUUCCGCUAUGCUCCACUGACAACAAUCAUGCAGUAUAAUAUCCUGUGUCACAAUCAACACUUUCAACGUUGAUGAUAAUCCUGAAAGACGUGCUGCUUAUACCAUGAAAACAUCCAUCUAUCAUUGACUUUUUAGGACAUCAAGGCUUAAUUGACAAUGUCAACUAAAUUGUGCCUUGAUUGGUUCAACGUGGAAAUGCCUAUAGAGAUUGUGAGUGAGGUUCACCAUCGCAGUACUGGACUUGGUACUGGUGCCAUGCUAGUAAAAUGAUGGUACGCCCAGUAUGGGGAUCAGUUUGGCAUCCCAAGAAUUGGUACACCCCGCCAUAGCGAAUCUCAAUUUGGUACUAGUGUGGUACAAUAUUGCUUGGUACAAGAAGUUUGUACUGGGACGGUGAAUCUUGGUUUUGAGUUUGCAAAUUCUCACAAUUCAUUAAUAUUGUUCCUCCAAGUUUGAGAGAUAGUACUUGGGGAAAAAAAAUUGUUUUUUGGGUCUAUAGUAGGAGUAUGUAUGUAAGGAGAUUGUUAGUGUAACACGUACAUGUAUCAGUGGCAUACUUUAUGCUGCUUGAUGAGUAGAUGGACUGUAUGAAAGCAACUCAAAUCAGCCACUAAACCUUUUUUUGUUUGCCCAUGAUAGUAAUUCAAGGAAAAGAGUGCUUUAUAAAAAGUGUAUCGUGUUGGGAGAGUAAUGUCAUCCUCUCGAAGGAUGAUAGCAGCAGGAUUAUUAUGCCUACUGGAAAGAGCUCUAAGCGACAACAAAUAGGCCUGUGACAUGUUUCAAUUGCCUGUGACAAUGCAAGUGGUUAUCAUGGCACUUCUUAUAGCUUCCCUUUCCGUCACUUUAUCUUUUUUUAGGACCAGUGUCAAGUUGUCUUUUCUGCUGUGCAAGUAAACCUAGAAAAGGAAACUAGAAAGCCAUUAAUCAAUAGAUAUUGCACUGGGAAAUGCUUAAUUUAUAAUUUAUAGUUCUUGUAUUCUUAUUAUUUAUUGAUGCAAUCCAUACAC